rnacentral:rRNA from 1 species
AACGAACGCUGGCGGCGUGCUUAACACAUGCAAGUCGAACGCGAAAGGGGCUUCGGCCCUGAGUAAAGUGGCGCACGGGUGAGUAACGCGUGGAUAAUCUGCCCUGUGAUCUGGGAUAACACUUCGAAAGGGGUGCUAAUACCGGAUAAGACCACGGAGUCUUAGGACUCUGCGGUAAAAGGUGGGGACCUUCGGGCCUACCGUCAUCGGAUGAGUCCGCGUACCAUUAGCUAGUUGGUAGGGUAAGAGCCUACCAAGGCGACGAUGGUUAGCUGGUCUGAGAGGAUGAUCAGCCACACUGGAACUGAGACACGGUCCAGACUCCUACGGGAGGCAGCAGUGGGGAAUUUUGCGCAAUGGGGGAAACCCUGACGCACGCAACGCCGCGUGAGUGAUGAAGGCCUUCGGGUCGUAAAGCUCUGUCAGAGGGAAGAAGUGUGCGGUGCUAAUAUCAUCUGCGCUUGACGGUACCCUCAACGGAAGCACCGGCUAACUCCGUGCC